rnacentral:rRNA from 1 species
AACGAACGCUGGCGGCAUGCCUAACACAUGCAAGUCGAACGAGACCUUCGGGUCUAGUGGCGCACGGGUGCGUAACGCGUGGGAACCUGCCCUUAGGUUCGGAAUAACUCCCCGAAAGGGGUGCUAAUACCGGAUAAUGUCUUCGGACCAAAGAUUUAUCGCCUUUGGAUGGGCCCGCGUUGGAUUAGCUAGUUGGUAGGGUAAAAGCCUACCAAGGCGACGAUCCAUAGCUGGUCUGAGAGGAUGAUCAGCCACACUGGGACUGAGACACGGCCCAGACUCCUACGGGAGGCAGCAGUGGGGAAUAUAGGACAAUGGGCGAAAGCCUGAGCCAGCAAUGCCGCGUGAGUGAUGAAGGCCUUAGGGUUGUAAAGCUCUUUUACCCGGGAUGAUAAUGACAGUACCGGGAGAAUAAGCUCCGGCUAACUCCGUG